rnacentral:tRNA from 1 species
UUAGAAAGUAGUUUAAAAGGUAAAACAAAGAAGUUUGAUUUCUUUAACAUAAGUUCAAUCCUUGUCUUUCUAAUC